rnacentral:lncRNA from 1 species
AUUGUUUGCUACUAAUGGAGCGGUUGCUGGCUCAUAUUGCGCAGAUAAGAUUGCAGAGCCCCAACCUUUUGUGUUUAUGGUCAGAAGUGUGUGUGUUUGGGGCGUGGGGCGGGGUGCGGGGGGACAAGAAAUUUCCUUUCAGUUACGGGGUUCCAGUCAUUAGUCAAUGACUCUUUCCCGUAUCUCUCUCCUUUCUCUUCCUCAGCCCCCAUUUCCCUUCAGAAUAAAACCCAGUCACUCCAACUUGCAGGCAAAGCUAGAAAAACUGCGCUGCAUUUGCAAACAAAAGCUCUUGUUGGCGAUGACGAUACUGUUUUGGGUGUGAAACUGUCAAUUGCUAACUACGAUCUGUGAAGUGCUGUAAUUAACUCCGCUAGGGGCUCCUCCCAACUAGUCUACGUUUCUUGUUGUUUGUUUUUUGUUUUUUUGUUUUUUGUUUUUGAAAAUGUAGAAAACUUGCAAAUCUAAAUUGGGAAGGGGUAGGAGGAAUAUUUCCUUCUCUGAGAAAAAGCUGCAGUGCAGGUUUCAGUUUAAGAAGGGAGCAGUUAUCACAUAGUCUCAUUUUGGAUUUAAGGAUAUAGGAGGUCUUACUGUGCAUGAUGGACAGUAAUGAUGAUAUCGUUCGGUCUUUAGAGGUUGCCCUUUUCAUCCUCUUAGUGCUCUGCAAACAGCUAAGUCUCUGUGAACUGCGUGAUAUCGCUGAUCAUAAUAUAAAACCGUCAAUACAGGAAAGUAGCUGUUAACCAUAUCUGCUUAAGAGGUCAGAGUCUGAAGUAAACAGCUUUGUGUAUGUGAUAAUCAGGAUUUGCUUGUGAGCAACUUGUUCAUUUUUUUUUUAAGGAAGGCAUAAUCAAGGAGCAUUUUCUUCAUAAAUGUUGAGAUCUGUUGACUUUAAAAUUUUGAGUUUCACAUGCCUUGGUGUAUGGCAGAAAGAAUCAGCACUCGUAAGCUAGUGUAUUUUAUAUAAGAAAUGUAACGGGGUUGCUGGGAGCGGUGGCUCACACCUGUAAUCCCAGCACUUUGGGAGGCCAAGACAGGCGGAUCAGCUGAGGUCAGGAGUUCGAUACUAGCCUGGCCAACAUGGCAAAACCCCGUCUCUACUAAAAAUAGAAAAAAUUUAGCUGCGCGUGGUGGCAGGCGCCUGUAAUCCCAGCUACUCGGGAGGCUGAGACAGGGGAAUCGCUUGAACCCAGGAGGCGGCGGUUGCAGUGAGCCAAGAUUGUGCCACUGCACUCCAACCUGGGCGGCAGAGCGAGACUCCGCCUCAAAAAAAAAAAAAAAAAAAAAGUGUAACGGGGUUAAAUCAAAAGCCAACAGAGUAGGGCUUUGUUUUCGUGUCUUUGUAUGUUUUUAUUAACUCCAAUUAAAAGUAAGAUUUCAGCCGGGCACGGUGGCUCUCGCCUGUAAUCCUAGCACUUUAGGAGGCUAAGGCGGGCAGAUCAUUUGAGGUUAGGAGUCCAAGACCAGCCUGGCCAACUUGAUAACACCCCGUGUCUACUGAAAAAUACAGAAAUUAGCCAGACCUGUAAUCCCACCAAGCUACUUGGGAGGCUAAGGCAUGAGGAUCGCUUGAACCUGCGUGGUGGAGGUUGCAGUGAGCUGAGAUCGGGCUACUGCACUCCACUCUGGGCAACAGAGUGAGACUCUGUCUCAAAAAUAAUAGGCCGGGCGUGGUGGCUUACGUCUGUAAUCCCAGCACUUUGGGAGGCCGAGGCGGGCGGAUCACCUGAGCUCAGUUGUUCAAGACCAGCCUGGCCAACAUGUCGAAACCCCGUCUUUACUAAAAAUACAAAAAUUAGCUGGGCAUGGUGGCGCAUGCCCGUAAUCCCAGCUACUCAGGAGGCUGAGGCAGGAGAAUGGCGUGAACCCAGGAGGCGGAGCUUGCAGUGAGCUGAGAGCGCGCCAUUGCACUCCAGCCUGGGUGACAGUGCAAGAUUCUGUCUCAAAAAAUACAAUAAAAAAUAAAAGUAAGUAAGAUUUCCAUUUACGGGAUAAUUUUAAACUGAGGUUGACUAGUUUUGUGGGUUUUGUUUGUUUGUUUGCUUUGUUUGUUUUUAAGUCAGAGUAUUGCUCUUGUUGCCCAGGCUGGAGUACAAUGGCAUGAUCUGGACUCACUGCAGCCUCCACCUCCUGGGUUCAAGUGAUUCUGCUGCCUCAGCCUCCUAAGUAGCUGAGAUUACAGGGCCACCACGCCCAGUUAAUUUUUGUAUUUUAGUGGAACGGAGUUUCACCGUGUUGGUCAGGUGGUCUUGAACUCCUGACCUCAGGUGAUCCACCAGUCUUGGCCUCCCAAAGUGUUGGGAUUACAGGCGUGAGCUACCGUGCCCCUCCUACCAGUUCUUUUUUUUUUUUUUAAACUAUUAAUUAGCUUUACUACUCUGGAUUUCUUGGAAAGUUUUCUUAAAAUUACUAGUGUGUUUAGUCUUCCGCGGAUUUUUUUUUAAACAGGAAUUUUCCUGUUUUUUUAAAUUUAAAAUUAGAAUAGUUAUUAGCUAAGUUUGUUAUAAAUGAAUAAAAUUAUUAGAGUCAUCUUGGUUUUGUCAAUUUCAAAAUAAAAAUUCAUUUAUACAAAAUUUGUGUAUAUCAUCCGUCCUUGGGAUCAUUACUUGCUGGAUGCAUUAUGGCAGAAAUACACUAUUCUCUUGACUGCUUCAUUUAUUGUUUUAAAGGACAAAAAGGAAAAAAGAAAAUACAUUUUUCUUCUUAAAGUUUUUUGUUGUUUUUUGAGACAAGGUCUCUGUCACCUGGCUCACUGCAGCCUCCGUCUGCCAGGUUCAAGCGAUUCUCGUGCUUCAGCCUCCCAAGUAGCUGGGACUCCAUUACAGGUGUGCACCACCAUGCCCGGCUAAAUUUUGUUUUUUGUUUUUUUUUUCUUGUUUGUUUUUGUUUUUGAGACGGAGUCUGGCUCUGUCGCUGAGGCUGGAGUGCAGUGGCACAAUCUUGGCUCACUGCAACCUCCGCCUCCUGGGUUCAAGCAGUUCUCUGCCUCAGCCUCCCAAGUAGCUGGAAUUACAGGCGCUCGCCACCACGCCUGGCUAAUUUUUGUAUUUUUAGUAGAGACAGGGUUUCACCAUCUUGGCCAGGCUGAUCCUGAACUCCUGACCUCAUGAUCCACCUUCCUCGGCCUCCUAAAGUGCUGGGAUUACAGGCAUGAGCCACUGCACCCGGCCUAAAUUUUGUAUUUUUAGUAGAGAUGGGGUUUCGCUAUGUUGUCCAGGCUGGUCUCUAACUCCUGACCUCAAGAGAUCGCCCGCAUUGGCCUCUCAAAGUGCUGCGAUUACAGGCCUGAGCCACCAGCACCCAGCCCAUAAAGUUUAAUAGUUGAAAUUUGUAAGGGCACAAAGGUGUUUUUUUCUGGAAGUGUGAAGUUCAAGUCAAAAGCUCACUUAAAUCUAUAAGGACUCUCGGUUGCUAUUACAAGUAGAAGAAAAUUAAUGAAUUGUCUUGUUUAAAUUGUGUGAUACUUCAGUGAGUUGUAAUGCAAUUAAGUAUAAUGAAUCACUGACUUUUAGAGAUGUCAGAGACUUAGAGAAUUCAUGGGGAGGAAACUGAAGAGAAGAGAUUAUCAUUGACGAGUAGUGCUAAUUUACUAGUCUCUUUCUACUUAAUCUCUGGAUUGCUUUGAAUUAACAAUUUUAAAUGUUUGAUAUUGGCCUCAUUGUGUUUUUGAGAUAGUUCAAAGUUGUGUCUAUCCUAGCUUGGCUCGUGAUUUGGUCUAAGUGUAGCUGUAUUAUUAAUUCUUUAAUAUAAAAGAUGAGAAUUCUUUUAAAGGGGUUCUUUUAAAAGGGAAACAAAGUUUUUCUGUUGUGUUUGCUAAUUUAAUUUUGUUUGUUUGUUUCAGAUUGACGUGAGUGAAUUCAGAUAUAACUCAAGCUUGUUAGAGGGCUUUUUAAAAAUAAAAAGUUGAUUCCGUGCAAGAGAGCAAGUUACUGCUGCUUACCGUUCAGAGACUUACAGGUGCUUGCCUGCAUUGCAAUAAAGGACUCAUUUAUUGAGCAAGACUUAUAUUUAUCUCUUCAUUUUGGAGAGCCUAAUAAACUGUUAUUACAGUUUCUCUACUGACUUUCAAAAGUUUUGAAGUUUGAAAGACCUUUGCAAUUAAAACAGCAUGAGCACGGCCAGAACAGAGAACCCUGUUAUAAUGGGUCUGUCCAGUCAAAAUGGUCAGCUGAGAGGCCCUGUGAAACCCACUGGUGGCCCUGGAGGAGGGGGCACACAGACACAGCAACAGAUGAACCAGCUGAAAAACACCAACACAAUCAAUAAUGGCACUCAGCAGCAAGCACAGAGUAUGACCACCACUAUUAAACCUGGUGAUGACUGGAAAAAGACUUUAAAACUCCCUCCAAAGGAUCUAAGAAUCAAAACUUCGG